rnacentral:tRNA from 2 species
GUCGAAGUGGUGGAACUGGUAGACACGCUAUCUUGAGGGGGUAGUGGGGUAUCCCGUGGGGGUUCGAGUCCCCCCUUCGACACCA